rnacentral:rRNA from 1 species
AUUGAACGCUGGCGGCAUGCCUUACACAUGCAAGUCGAACGGCAGCGGGGGAGAAGCUUGCUUUUCCUGCCGGCGAGUGGCGAACGGGAGAGUAAUACAUCGGAACGUGCCCUGUGGUGGGGGAUAACUAGUCGAAAGAUUAGCUAAUACCGCAUACGACCUGAGGGUGAAAGUGGGGGACCGCAAUGCCUCAUGCUAUAGGGGCGGCCGCUGUCUGAUGAGCCAGUUGGUGGGUUAAAGGCCUACCAAGGCGACGAUCAGUAGCUGGUCUGGGAGUACGAUCGACCACACUGGGACGGCGACACAGCCCAAACUCCUACGGGAGGCAGCAGUAGGGAAUUUUGGACAAUGGACGAAAGCCUGAUCCAGCAAUGCCGCGUGGGUGAAGAAGGCCGUCGGAUUGUAAAGCACUUUUGUCCGAAAAGAAAUGGCUUGAGUUAAUACCUGGGGUCGAUGACGGUACCGGAAGAAUAAGGACCGGCUAACUACGUGCCAGCCGCCGCCGUAA